rnacentral:rRNA from 1 species
GAAAUGCUGAUAAUGUAMUGUGAAUUGCAGAAUUCAGUGAAUCAUCGAAUCUUUGAACGCACAUUGCGCCCCUUGGUAUUCCGAGGGGCAUGCCUGUUCGAGCGUCAUUACAACCCUCAAGCAUUGCUUGGUAUUGGGCUCCGCUGCUCACCUAGCGGGCCUUAAAAUCAGUGGCGGUGCCGUCGGGCCCUGAGCGUAGUAAAUCUCCUCGCUACAGGGACCCGGUGGACGCUGGCCAUCAACCCCUCACUUUMUAAGUUUGACCUCGGAUCAGGUAGGGAUACCCGCUGAACUUAAGCAUAUCAAUAAGCGGAGGAAAAGAAACCAACAGGGAUUGCCUCAGUAACGGCGAGUGAAGCGGCAACAGCUCAAAUUUGAAAUCUGGCUCUUUCAGGGUCCGAGUUGUAAUUUGUAGAAGAUGCUUCGGGUGUGGCUCCGGUCUAAGUUCCUUGGAACAGGACGUCAUAGAGGGUGAGAAUCCCGUAUGUGACUGGCAUGCCUUCGCCUAUGUGAAGCUCUUUCGACGAGUCGAGUUGUUUGGGAAUGCAGCUCAAAUGGGUGGUAAAUUUCAUCUAAAGCUAAAUAUUGGCCAGAGACCGAUAGCGCACAAGUAGAGUGAUCGAAAGAUGAAAAGCACUUUGGAAAGAGAGUUAAACAGUACGUGAAAUUGUUGAAAGGGAAGCGCUUGCAAUCCAGACUUGCACUUGGUCGAUCAUCCGAGGUUCUCCCCGGUGCACUCGAUCUCGUUCAGGCCAGCAUCGGUUCAGGUGGUGGGAUAAAGGCCUUGGGAAUGUAGCUUCUUUCGGGGAGUGUUAUAGCCCUCGGUGCAAUGCCGCCUAC